UACGGAGGAUCCAAGCGUUAUCCGGAUUCAUUGGGUUUAAAGGGUGCGUAGGCGGAAUGAUAAGUCAGUGGUGAAAGCCCUUCGCUUAACGAAGGAACUGCCAUUGAUACUGUCAAUCUUGAGUACAUUUGAUGUGGGCGGAAUGUGUCAUGUAGCGGUGAAAUGCUUAGAUAUGACACAGAACACCGAUUGCGAAGGCAGCUCACAAAACUGUAACUGACGCUGAGGCACGAAAGCGUGGGUAUCAAACAGG
rnacentral:rRNA from 1 species